rnacentral:rRNA from 1 species
GAUGAACGCUGGCGGCGUGCCUAAUACAUGCAAGUCGAACGAAGACCUAGCUUGCUAGAUCUUAGUGGCGAACGGGUGAGUAAUACAUAAAUAAUCUGCCCAUAUGACUGGGAUAACUAUUGGAAACGAUAGCUAAUACCGGAUAGGUUGAUCGGAGGCAUCUCUGAUGAAUUAAAGUAGGAUUUCUACACAAAUGGAUGAGUUUAUGGGGCAUUAGUUAGUUGGUGGGGUAACGGCCUACCAAGACGAUGAUGCGUAGCCGACCUGAGAGGGUGAACGGGCACACGGGGACGGAGACACGGCCCAGACGCCUUCGGGAGGCAGCAGUAGGGAAUUUUCGGCAAUGGGCGCAAGCCUGACCGGGCAACGCCGCGUGAGUGAUUAAGGCCUUCGGGUUGUAAAGCUCUGUUGUAAGGGAAGAACAUUCAGGAUAGGAAAUGAUCUUGAACUGACGGUACCUUACCAGAAAGCCACGGCUAACUACGUGCCAGCAGCCGCCGUAA